rnacentral:snRNA from 1 species
AUACUUUACCUGGUGGGGAGAUAACAUAAUCACAAAGGUGGCUUUCCCAGGAUGAGGCUUGUCCAUUGCACUCUGGAUGUGUUGAUCCCCUACAAUUUCCCCAACUGUCUGAAACAUGGCUGCAUAAUUUGUGUAAGUGGGGAAAUUGGGUUCACAUUUUCCCUC